rnacentral:rRNA from 1 species
GAACCGCAUGGUUCAAAAGUGAAAGACGGUCUUGCUGUCACUUAUAGAUGGAUCCGCGCUGCAUUAGCUAGUUGGUAAGGUAACGGCUUACCAAGGCAACGAUGCAUAGCCGACCUGAGAGGGUGAUCGGCCACACUGGAACUGAGACACGGUCCAGACUCCUACGGGAGGCAGCAGUAGGGAAUCUUCCGCAAUGGGCGAAAGCCUGACGGAGCAACGCCGCGUGAGUGAUGAAGGUCUUCGGAUCGUAAAACUCUGUUAUUAGGGAAGAACAUAUGUGUAAGUAACUGUGCACAUCUUGACGGUACCUAAUCAGAAAGCCACGGCUAACUACGUGCCAGCAGCCGCGGUAAUACGUAGGUGGCAAGCGUUAUCCGGAAUUAUUGGGCGUAAAGCGCGCGUAGGCGGUUUUUUAAGUCUGAUGUGAAAGCCCACGGCUCAACCGUGGAGGGUCAUUGGAAACUGGAAAACUUGAGUGCAGAAGAAGAAAGUGGAAUUCCAUGUGUAGCGGUGAAAUGCGCAGAGAUAUGGAGGAACACCACAGGAUUAGAUACCCUGGUAGUCCACGCCGUAAACGAUGAGUGCUAAGUGUUAGGGGGUUUCCGCCCCUUAGUGCUGCAGCUAACGCAUUAAGCACUCCGCCUGGGGAGUAC